rnacentral:rRNA from 1 species
CCUACGGGAGGCAGCAGUGAGGAAUAUUGGUCAAUGGGCGUAAGCCUGAACCAGCCAAGUCGCGUGAGGGAUGAAGGUUCUAUGGAUCGUAAACCUCUUUUAUAAGGGAAUAAAGUGUGGGACGUGUCCUGUUUUGUAUGUACCUUAUGAAUAAGGAUCGGCUAACUCCGUGCCAGCAGCCGCGGUAAUACGGAGGAUCCGAGCGUUAUCCGACUUUAUUGGGUUUAAAGGGUGCGUAGGCGGCCUUUUAAGUCAGCGGUGAAAGUCUGUGGCUCAACCAUAGAAUUGCCGUUGAAACUGGGAGGCUUGAGUAUGUUUGAGGCAGGCGGAAUGCGUGGGGUAGCGGUGAAAUGCUUAGAUAUCACGCAGAACCCCGAUUGCGAAGGCAGCCUGCCAAGCCAUGACUGACGCUGAUGCACGAAAGCGUGGGGAUCAAACAGGAUUAGAUACCCUAGUAGUC